CACCUACGGGUGGCAGCAGUGGGGAAUUUUGGACAAUGGGCGCAAGCCUGAUCCAGCCAUGCCGCGUGCAGGGUGAAGGCCUUCGGGUUGUAAACUGCUUUUGUACGGAACGAAAAGGUUCUUUUUAAUAAAGAGAGCUCAUGACGGUACCGUAAGAAUAAGCACCGGCUAACUACGUGCCAGCAGCCGCGGUAAUACGUAGGGUGCAAGCGUUAAUCGGAAUUACUGGGCGUAAAGCGUGCGCAGGCGGUGAUGUAAGACAGUUGUGAAAUCCCCGGGCUCAACCUGGGAACUGCAAUUGUGACUGCAUCGCUGGAGUGCGGCAGAGGGGGAUGGAAUUCCGCGUGUAGCAGUGAAAUGCGUAGAUAUGCGGAGGAACACCGAUGGCGAAGGCAAUCCCCUGGGCCUGCACUGACGCUCAUGCACGAAAGCGUGGGGAGCAAACAGGAUUAGAUACCCUGGUAGUCCACGCCCUAAACGAUGUCAACUGGUUGUUGGGAAUUCACUUUCUCAGUAACGAAGCUAACGCGUGAAGU
rnacentral:rRNA from 1 species